rnacentral:rRNA from 1 species
GACGAACGCUGGCGGCGUGCUUAACACAUGCAAGUCGAACGGAAAGGCCCCUUUGGGGGUACUCGAGUGGCGAACGGGUGAGUAACACGUGAGUAACCUGCCCUUGACUUCGGGAAAACUUCAGGAAACUGGGGCUAAUACCGGAUAGGAAUCCUUGCUGCAUGGUGGGGGUUGAAAAGCUUCGGCGGUUUUGGAUGGACUCGCGGCUUAUCAGCUUGUUGGUGGGGUAGUGGCUUACCAAGGCUGUGACGGGUAGCCGGCCUGAGAGGGCGACCGGCCACAUUGGGACUGAGCUACGGCCCAGCCUCCUACGGGAGGCAGCAGUGGUGAAUAUUGCACAAUGGGCGUAAGCCUGAUGCAGCAACGCCGCGUGCGGGAUGACGGCCUUCGGGUUGUAAGCCGCUUUCAGCAGGGGCGGAGCUUGUGGUGACGGUACCUGCAGAAGAAGCACCGGCUAACUACGUG